ACUUUUAAUAAUAGAUCUCUUGGUUCUAGUAUUAAUAAAGAACGCAGCGAAAUGCGAUAAGUAGUGUGAAUUACAGAAUUUAGUAAAUUAUUAAAUCUUUAAACGCAUAUUGCGCCCCUUAGUAUUCUAUAGGGUAUGCCUGUUUAAGCGUUAUUUGUACCCUUAAGCUCUGCUUAGUAUUAGGUGUUUGUUCUACUUAGGACUUGCCUUAAAAUAAUUAGUAGCUAGCAUAUUAGCCUAGAGCGCAGCACAUUUUGCGCCUCUUAUUAUGGUUAUUAGUAUUUAUUAAGACACUUUUUAAGCUCUUAACCUUAGAUUAGGUAGGGAUACCUGCUAAACUUAAGCAUAUUAAUAAGCGGAGGAAAAGAAACUAAUAGGGAUUGCCCUAGUAACGGCGAGUGAAGCGGUAAUAGCUUAAAUUUAAAAUCUAGCUCUUUUAAGGUCUAAGUUGUAAUUUAUAGAGGGCGCUUUAGCGUUAGUAGUAGUCUAAGUUCCUUAGAAUAGGACGUUACAGAGGGUAAGAAUCCUAUACGUAGUUACUAGCCUUCGCCGUGUAAAGCCCCUUUAACAAGUUAAGUUAUUUAGGAAUGCAGCUCUAAAUAGGAGGUAAAUUUCUUCUAAAGCUAAAUACUAGCUAGAGACUAAUAGCGCACAAGUAGAGUAAUUAAAAGAUAAAAAGCACUUUAGAAAGAGAGUUAAAUAGCACGUGAAAUUGUUAAAAGGGAAGCGCUUGCAGCUAGACUUGCCUAUAGUUACUUAUCUAGGCUUUUGUCUAGUGCACUCUUCUAUAGGCAGGCUAGUAUUAAGUUUAGGCAGUUAGAUAAAGGUCUCUAUUACGUACCUCCCUUUAGGGAGGCCUUAUAGGGGAGACGACAUGCAACUAGCCUAGACUAAGGUCCGCGUAUCUACUAGGAUGCUAGCGUAAUAGCUAUAAGCGGCCUAUCUUAAAACAUAGACUAAGGAGUCUAAUAUCUAUGUAAGUAUUUAGGUGUUAAGCCUAGACGCGUAAUAAAAGUAAACAGAGGUAGGAACCCUUUUAGGGUGCACUAUUAACUAAUCCUAAUAUCUUUAGAAGGAUUUAAGUAAGAGCAUAGCUAUUAGGACCUAAAAGAUAGUGAACUAUGCUUAAAUAGGGUGAAGCUAGAGGAAACUCUAGUGGAGGCUCGCAGCAGUUCUAACGUGCAAAUUAAUUAUUAAAUUUAGGCAUAGGGGCGAAAGACUAAUUAAACUAUCUAGUAGCUAGUUCCUACUAAAGUUUCCCUUAGGAUAGUAGUAACGUAUUUAGUUUUAUAAGGUAAAGCAAAUAAUUAGAGGCCUAGGGGUUAAAAUAACCUUUACCUAUUCUUAAACUUUAAAUAUGUAAGAAGUCCUUAUUACUUAAUUAAACGUGGACACUUAAAUGUACUAUUACUAGUAGGCUAUUUUUAGUAAGUAGAACUAGCGAUGCAGGAUAAACUAAAUGCAGGGUUAAGGUGCUAGAAUGCACGCUUAUUAGACACUACAAAAGGUGUUAGUUUAUCUAGAUAGUAGGAUAGUAGCUAUAGAAGUUAGAAUCUACUAAGGAGUGUGUAAUAACUUACCUACUAAAUAAACUAGCCCUAAAAAUAGAUAGCGCUUAAGCGUGUUACCUAUACCCUGCCGCUAGGGCAAGAUUUAAGCCCUAGCAAGUAGGCAGGCGUAGAGGCUCGUGACAAAGCCUUAGGGGUAACCCUAGGUAGAACGGCCUCUAGUGCAGAUCUUAGUAGUAGUAGCAAAUACUUAAAUAAGAACUUUAAGGACUAAAGUAGGGAAAGGUUCUGUGUAAAUAGCAGUUAGACACAGGUUAGUUAAUCCUAAGAGAUAGGGUAAUUCUAUUUUAAUGUUAGUGCUUACGCCGCGCCCUUAAAAGGGAAGCUAGUUAAUAUUCUAGAACCUAGAUAUAGAUUCUCCGCGGCAACGCAACUAAGAGCGGAGACCUUAGCAGGAGCCCUAAGAAGAGUUCUCUUUUCUUUUUAACGGUCUGUUACCCUAAAAUUAGUUUGUCUAGAGCUAGGGUUCAAUAGCUAGAAGAGCACUAUACUUUUACAGCGUUUAGUGCGCUCCUAACAAGCCUUAAAAAUCUACUUAAAGAAAUAGUUUUUACGCUAGGUUAUACUUAUAACUGUAGUAGGUCUCUAAGGUAAAAAGCCUCUAGUUAAUAGAACAAUAUAGAUAAGGGAAGUUAGCAAAAUAGAUCUAUAACUUUAGGAAAAGGAUUAGCUCUAAGGGUUAGGUACGUUAGGCCUUAGGGAGAAGCCUCUAGCGCAGAAGGGCACUAACCGCAAGGUAGGCGCCUCUUAGCGCUAGGGUGCAGACACCCUUAGCAGGUUUUAGCUAUCUAGCGUACGUUUAACAACUAACUUAGAACUAGUAUAGAUAAGGGGAAUCUAACUAUCUAAUUAAAAUAUAGUAUUGCAAUAGCUAGAAAGUAGUGUUAAUAUAAUAUGAUUUCUGCCUAGUGCUCUAAAUAUUAAAGCAAAGAGAUUUAACCAAGCGCGGGUAAAUAGUAGGAGUAACUAUAACUCUCUUAAGGUAGCUAAAUGCCUUGUUAUCUAAUUAGUAACGCGCAUAAAUGGAUUAAUAAGAUUCCUACUAUCCCUAUCUACUAUCUAGCAAAACUACAGCUAAGGGAACAGGCUUAGCUAAAUUAGCGGGGAAAGAAGACCCUAUUAAGCUUGACUCUAGUUUAAUAUUAUAAAAAGACAUAGGGGGUGUAGAAUAGGUAGGAGCUUUGGCGCUAGUAAAAUACUACUACCCUUAUUAUUUUUUUACUUAUUUAAUAAAGCAGAGCUAGGCCUUACUACCUAACUUCUAGCGUUUAAGGUCCUUUAUAGGCUAAUCUAGGUUAAAGAUAUUAUUAGGUAGGGAGUUUAGCUAGGGCGGCACAUCUAUUAAACUAUAACGCAGGUGUCCUAAGGGGGACUUAUAGAGAAUAGAAAUCUCUAGUAGAGUAAAAGGGUAAAAGUCCCCUUAAUUUUGAUUUUUAGUGUGAAUACAAACUAUAAAAGUGUAGCCUAUUAAUUCUUUAGUCCCUUAAAAUUUAAGGCUAGAGGUGCUAGAAAAGUUACUAUAGGGAUAACUAGCUUGUGGCAGCCAAGCGUUUAUAGCGAUGUUGCUUUUUAAUCCUUUAAUAUUAGCUCUUCCUAUUAUACUAAAGCAGAAUUUAGUAAGCGUUGGAUUGUUUACCUACUAAUAGGGAACGUAAGCUAGGUUUAGACUGUUGUAAGAUAGGUUAGUUUUACCCUACUAAUAACCUUGCCCUAAUAGUAAUACUGCUUAGUACGAGAGGAACCGCGGUUUUAGAUAAUUAGUUUUUGCGGCUGUCUAACUAGGUAUUGCUAUAAAGCUACUAUCUGCUAGAUUAUAGCUAAACGCCUCUAAGU
rnacentral:rRNA from 2 species